rnacentral:sRNA from 1 species
AAAGUCGUGAACAGCUUAAGGGGAUGUAUAAGCAGUGAAGGUGAAGUACCAUUUAAGUGGGGCCAACCUGGCUCUGGUGGCUGAAAUUGCGCCCGACUGGACUGGUGGCAGCCAUAAAUAAUGCCACACGAAGUUUAAAAUGCAAUAAUGAAAUUUAUUAAGAACUUAUGCGGAGUUAAAACACCGAAGAUGGGGACGGGAUCCUUGUGUAAACACGGGCGAAAGGAAUCACGCAAGUCAAGGAGAGCAGAAGUCCAGAUACUCUAGCAAAUCGAAAGACGAUCGAGCUUGAGACGCGACCUCCAAAUUGAUGGGCCACUUGAGUUGCUUGAUUUUGGGUGCGCACAACUUACAAAUAGUAUUCAAUUAGAAAAAAUAGAUGUAUAUUUUUAAGUACGUAGUGUUUAGGCUUAGGCUGGGGACUUGGGGGUUUUUGUGAGUGUUUAGUGUCGUUUUAACGUUUUGUA